rnacentral:rRNA from 1 species
CCUACGGGUGGCAGCAGUCGAGAAUCAUUCACAAUGGGGGAAACCCUGAUGGUGCGACGCCGCGUGGGGGAAUGAAGGUCUUCGGAUUGUAAACCCCUGUCAUGUGGGAGCAAAUUAAAAAGAUAGUACCACAAGAGGAAGAGACGGCUAACUCUGUGCCAGCAGCCGCGGUAAUACAGAGGUCUCAAGCGUUGUUCGGAAUCACUGGGCGUAAAGCGUGCGUAGGCUGUUUCGUAAGUCGUGUGUGAAAGGCGCGGGCUCAACCCGCGGACGGCACAUGAUACUGCGAGACUAGAGUAAGGGAGGGGGAACCGGAAUUCUCGGUGUAGCAGUGAAAUGCGUAGAUAUCGGGAGGAACACUCGUGGCGAAGGCGGGUUCCUGGACAUUAACUGACGCUGAGGCACGAAGGCCAGGGGAGCGAAAGGGAUUAGAUACCCUUGUAGUC